CGUAAAGAUUCAGUGAAGAUUUGUAGGGACACAUUUAUUAAACUAUAUUUUAAUUCCGUAUCAUGAAAUAAACCUUAUAUAAAUAAACACGGAAGACAUGGACUUGUAUAGUAUUAACUGUAUACAUGUUGGAAAUCGAAAAGCAUUGUAUUCAAUACCUCCAGAAUAUGGACACGAAUUUGAAUGAUUGGCUAAUCGCUUUUUUCCAACUAAACCGGCAAACUGCCCUGCUUUUCUCAGGCAUAAAGUGACUAUGAUAUCUCCCAAUAUUUUGGAACAAAAUGCUAUACCCUAUAAUAAAAUCACACAGGAGAAAGGUGAGUUCAUGGUAACGUUCCCCUUUGGAUAUCAUUGUGGGUAUAAUAAUGGCUUCAAUAUAGCUGAAGCUAUAAAUUUUGCAUCUCCACGUUGGGUGGAGUAUGGGAUAAAUGCUUCACUGUGUCAUUGCCGUAAAGAUCCAGUGAAGAUUUGUAUGGACACAUUUAUUAAACGUAUAUAAUAUUAUUAUUUGUCAUAACUUGAAGUUGUACAGUAGAUAUUGGAAUAAUGGCUUAAACUUACAAGGUUAUCGUAAUAGAAAUAUUAACGAUGUCUAUGUUUUUAUAACGAGCCGGCACUAUUUGUUAAAAUGUAAUUUUGUUCCGCUUGAAAAUAAAAUCAAAGACAUUUUUAUAUAACAUUAACGCGUUUAGCAUA